rnacentral:rRNA from 1 species
GAUGAACGCUGGCGGCGUGCCUAAUACAUGCAAGUCGAGCGAAGCGGGGAAGGGUGAGUAACACGUGGAUAACCUCCUAUUCGACUGGGAUAACUUCGGGAAAACGGAGCUCAACCGGAUACUUAUCGAAUGAUCCGCUCUGCAUUAGUGAGUUGGUAAGGUCACGUCUUACCAAGGCAACGAUGCAUAGCCGACCUGAGAGGGUGAGCGGCCACCCUGGAACUGCGACACGGUCCAGACUCCUACGGGAGGCAGCAGUAGGGAAUCUUCCGCAAUGGGCGAAAGCCGGACGGAGCAACGCCGCGUGAGUGAUGAAGGUCUUCGGAUCGUAAAACUCUUUUAUUAGGGAAGCGGUACCUAAUCAGAAAGCCACGGCUAACUACGUGCCAGCCGCCGCGGUAAUUC